UACGAAGGGGGCUAGCGUUGUUCGGAAUUACUGGGCGUAAAGGGCGCGUAGGCGGUGUGUCAAGUCAGGCGUGAAAGCCCCGGGCUCAACCUGGGAACCGCGCUUGAGACUGGCACGCUCGAGUUCGGGAGAGGAUGGUGGAAUUCCCAGUGUAGAGGUGAAAUUCGUAGAUAUUGGGAAGAACACCGAUGGCGAAGGCAGCCACCUGGACCGACACUGACGCUGAGGCGCGGAAAGCGUGGGGAGCAAACAGG
rnacentral:rRNA from 1 species